rnacentral:tRNA from 1 species
GUCUAGCUGGCUCAACCAGUAGAACAUGUGACUCAUGAUCUCAAUGAUAGGGGUUUGAGCCCCAUGUUGGAUG